rnacentral:rRNA from 1 species
UGGGGAAUUUUGGACAAUGGGCGAAAGCCUGAUCCAGCAAUGUCGCGUGUGUGAAGAAGGCCUUCGGGUUGUAAAGCACUUUUGUCCGGAAAGAAAUCCUUGGCUCUAAUACAGUCGGGGAUGACGGUACCGGAAGAAUAAGCACCGGCUAACUACGUGCCAGCAGCCGCGGUAAUACGUAGGGUGCAAGCGUUAAUCGGAAUUACUGGGCGUAAAGCGUGCGCAGGCGGUUUGCUAAGACCGAUGUGAAAUCCCCGGGCUCAACCUGGGAACUGCAUUGGUGACUGGCAGGCUAGAGUAUGGCAGAGGGGGGUAGAAUUCCACGUGUAGCAGUGAAACUGCGUAGAGAUGUGGAGGAAUACCGAUGCGAAGGCAGCCCCUGGCCAAUACUGACGCUCAUGCACGAAAGCGUGGGGAGCAAACAGGAUUAGAUACCCUGGUAGUCCACGCCCUAAACGAUG